rnacentral:rRNA from 1 species
UUCAGCGUUCUGUAAGCCGUAUAGUGAAUGACUUGGCUCAACAGCUGAUGAAGGGCGUGGCAAGCUGCGAUAAGCCUGGGCGAGCCGCAUGCAGGCAUUGAACCCAGGAUCCCUCAAUCACUCCGUAAGGAGUAGGAACCCCGGGAAUUGAAAUAUCUUAGUACCGGGUGGAAAAGAAAUCAACCGAGAUGCUCUUAGUAAAGUCGAUCGAACAGAGCAUAGAGCAAACCGAAUCCCGUGCCGCGAGGCACGGGAGAUGUGGGGUUCGGGCGCUGGUACAACUCGUAACUUAAGCCGAAGUCCCCUGGAAUGGGGCGCCACAGAGAGUGAGAGCCUCGUAGGCGCAAGGUUGCGAGUUGAGUCCAGCUGUCCCAGAGUACUGCGCAUUGGAUUUUGCGUGGAAAGAUUCGGAGUCAUCAUCUUCGAACUCUAAACACUCGUUGAGGCCGAUAGCAAACUAGUACCGUGAGGGAAAGUUGAAAAGUACCCUUGGCAGGGGUUGAAAAGCGUCUGAAACUAUAUGGUCAUAGACUGACAGGGCACGAAAGAGUCGACGUCUUGCAAAGCAAGCUCCCGCAAGGGGGCGCGCGAGCGAGACUGAUCAGUGUUCUGUCGUUCGUCUUGAAGCACGACCCAGGGAGUUCAGGGCAGUGGCGAGGUUAACUCCAUCAUGGAGGCAGCCGAAGCGAAAGCAAGUCGCCGCAAGCAAUGAGGGCGAGAGUAUGAAAAUGCUCAAGUCACUGUCCUGAGGCCCGAAGCCCGGUGAGCUACUCGUAGGCAGGACGAAAUCCCCCAUCCGGGGGAUGGAGGUCCGGUACCGGUUCUAGUCUAACUGUUCGGGUGACCAGCGAGUAGGAGUAAUAGGCCAUUCUAACCGGGCAAUUGCGGGCUCCCUCCGAAUAACCUCUCAGGGUUACCUGGCUGGAGAUCGAGAGCGGGGUAGAGAUACUGAUUAUGAAGUACUGGUUCGAAAGUUCCAGCUUCGUUGUCAAACUCCCAAUCCGUUUUCAUCGUAGAAGGCCAGAGCAGGGGCAGGCGGGUAAGCCGACUGUCCUAGAGGGGAACAACCCAGACCGAGGUUAAGGCCCAAAAAUGUUGGCUAAGUGUAAAAGGCUGAAAAGCGUCUUCAUCCAUAUACAAUGGGGAGGUUGGCUUAGAAGCAGCCACCCUUUAAAGAGUGCGUAACAGCUCACCCAUCUAGGAUGAGGGCCUUGAAGAUUAUCUGGGCUAAAGCCAACUGCCGAUACCCCGGAGUGCCCCCAGUGGGGGUAAUCUUGUAGGGAGGUGAACUGAAUGGGCAGAAGCAGGGGUGAAAAUUCCUGUGGACCGUUCAGUUAUAUGGAUCCUGGGGCUAGUAAUAACAGAAGAAGAGAGAGAAUCUCUUCCGCCGAAAGGGCAAGGGUUUCUUAGCGCUAAUCCUUAGCUAAGAGUUAGCCGGUCCUAAGGCCCCCCGUAACACGGUGGGGACGAAAGGGAAACAGGUUCACAUUCCUGUGCCACACAAGUACAUCUUCGGCAACGAAAGCGCGGUUUUCGACGCAUCGAGGUAGGCGGAGUCCACUCGUCUGUGGAUUUAACCGGAAUAGGCCUUUGGAGAGCCGUAAUGGCGAGAAGGAGGCCAAAUCCGGGAAUAGCUGCAAAGUUCUGCCGAGCCCUGGUGCCCAUGAAAAGAGAACCGCGAAGGACCUUGUGUGACCGUACCCAGAUCCGAGAAGGGUGCCCCUGGCUGAGAAGGCCAAGGCGUCGCAGGGUAACCCGGUUAAGGGAACUCGGCAAAAUAGCCCCGUAUCUUUGGUAUAAGGGGUGCCUGUGCUCCACAAGAGUGCAGGUUGCAAUAACAAGAUGGGUCCGACUGUUUAACAAAAACACAGGUAACUGCUAGCGAGUAAUCGUUAGUAUAGUUGCUGAUACGUGCUCACUGCCAGUACGUGAAACCCCCGUUCAAGGGGCCUAAGCGCUGGUAAAGAGCGGGCCUAACUCUGAGGCUCUCACGGUAGCGUAAUACCUUGUCGGUUUAUUGCCGACUUGCACCAAGCGUAUAACGAGACCCAUACUGUCCCUGCCGCGGAUCCCCAACGGGAAGAGAAGACCCCACGGAGGUUUACUACAGUCUGAUGUUGCUAUAUGGUUUUUGUCGUGCAGCGUAGAUGGGAGCCACCGAAGCAGUCUCGUCAGGGACUGUGGAGGCGACAAUGAAACACCAUCCUAUGAAAACUAUGUGGCUAACCCCUUCACAGGGGGGACAACAUUUGAUGGGUAGUUAGGCUGGGGCGGCACGCCCCUGAAAAUGUAUCAGGGGCGCCCAAAGGUCUGCUCAGGUGAGUCAGAAAUUCACCGUAGAGUGCAAAGGCAAAAGCAGGCUUGACUGUGUUCUACACAGCAAGGAACGCAGAAUGGAAACAUGGGCUUAGCGAACAUCAGCGGCCCUGUGAUGGGGCCCUGGUCUGACAGUGAACUUACCCUGGGGGUAACUGAGUGGUCGUGGGUGAGAGUACACAUCGACCCCACGGUUUGCGACCUCGCCGUCGGCUCAAGGCAUCCUGGCUGUGCAUAAGCAGCCAAGGGUGGAGGUGUUAACUCAUUAAAGCCUUUCGUUAGUUGGGUUAAAAACGGUGCGAGCCAGUUUGGUUACUAUCUGUUGGGGAUGCGGGUUGCGUGAGGGGAAGCUCCAUUGAGUACGAGAGGAACGAUGGGGCGCGGUCUCUGGUGUACCAGUUGUCUGACAAGGCAUCGCUGGGUAGCCACGCUGUGACUUAUAAGAGCUGAAAGCAUCUAAGCUCGAAGAAGUCCCUGAAAAUACGCAACCAUUGCCGAACCUUUUCCCCUCCGGGGGAAGAGUGUAGGCACGAGACCCCGGGCUAUAAUACCCGGUUGAUAGGUGGGGGGUGUAAGGCGGGAGCUUCGGCGACCGUUUAAGCCCACCCAUACUAAUAGGUCGAGAGAACGUUGAA